rnacentral:rRNA from 1 species
GAUCCUGGCUCAGAACGAACGCUGGCGGCAGGCCUAACACAUGCAAGUCGAGCGCGCCCUUCGGGGUGAGCGGCGGACGGGUUAGUAACGCGUGGGAACGUACCCUUUGGUAGGGAAUAGCCACUGGAAACGGUGAGUAAUACCCUAUGAGCCCUUCGGGGGAAAGAUUUAUCGCCAAAGGAUCGGCCCGCGUUAGAUUAGGUAGUUGGUGGGGUAAUGGCCUACCAAGCCUACGAUCUAUAGCUGGUUUUAGAGGAUGAUCAGCAACACUGGGACUGAGACACGGCCCAGACUCCUACGGGAGGCAGCAGUGGGGAAUCUUGGACAAUGGGGGCAACCCUGAUCCCAGCCAUGCCGCGUGAGUGAAGAAGGCCUUAGGGUCGUAAAGCUCUUUCGCCUGUGAAGAUAAUGACGGUAGCAGGUAAAGAAACCCCGGCUAACUCCGUGCCAGCAGCUGC